rnacentral:rRNA from 1 species
UACGUAGGGUGCGAGCGUUAAUCGGAAUUAUUGGGCGUAAAGCGUGCGCAGGCGGUUCGCUGUGUCCGAUGUGAAAGCCCCGGGCUCAACCUGGGAAUGGCAUGGGAAACUGGCGGGCUGGAGUGUGGCAGAGGGGGGUGGAAUUCCGCGUGUAGCAGUGAAAUGCGUAGAGAUGCGGAGGAACACCGAUGGCGAAGGCAGCCCCCUGGGCCAACACUGACGCUCAGGCACGAAAGCUAGGGUAGCAAACGGG